rnacentral:rRNA from 3 species
UACGGAGGGUGCAAGCGUUACUCGGAAUCACUGGGCGUAAAGAGCACGUAGGCGGCCUUGCAAGUCAGAUGUGAAAUCCAACGGCUUAACCGUUGAACUGCAUUUGAAACUGCAAGGCUAGAGUAUGGGAGAGGUAGGUGGAAUUCUCGGUGUAGGGGUAAAAUCCGUAGAGAUCGAGAGGAAUACUCAUUGCGAAGGCGACCUGCUGGAACAUUACUGACGCUGAGGUGCGAAAGCGUGGGGAGCAAACAGG